rnacentral:rRNA from 1 species
ACAACGCUGGCGGCGUGCUAAUACAUGCAUGUCGAGCGAACAGAAGGGAGCUUGCUCCCGGAUGUUAGCGGCGGACGGGUGAGUAACACGUGGGUAACCUGCCUGUAAGACUGGGAUAACUCCGGGAAACCGGAGCUAAUACCGGAUAGUUCCUUGAACCGCAUGGUUCAAGGAUGAAAGACGGUUUCGGCUGUCACUUACAGAUGGACCCGCGGCGCAUUAGCUAGUUUGGUGGGGUAAUGGCUCACCAAGGCGACGAUGCGUAGCCGACCUGAGAGGGUGAUCGGCCACACUGGGACUGAGACACGGCCCAGACUCCUACGGGAGGCAGCAGUAGGGAAUCUUCCGCAAUGGACGAAAGUCUGACGGAGCAACGCCGCGUGAGUGAUGAAGGUUUUCGGAUCGUAAAGCUCUGUUGUUAGGGAAGAACAAGUGCGAGAGUAACUGCUCGCACCUUGACGGUACCUAACCAGAAAGCCACGGCUAACUACGUGCCAGCAGCCGCGGUAAUACGUAGGUGGCAAGCGUUGUCCGGAAUUAUUGGGCGUAAAGGGCUCGCAGGCGGUUUCUUAAGUCUGAUGUGAAAGCCCCCGGCUCACGGGGAGGGUCAUUGGAAAACUGGGAAACUUGAGGUGCCAGAAGAGGAAGAAGUGGGAAUUCCCACGGUGUAGCGGGUGGAAAAUUGGCGUAAGAAGAUGUUGGGAGGAACAACCAGUGGGCGAAGGCGAACCUCUCCUGGGGUCUGGUAACUGGAACGCUGAGGGAAAGCGCAAAAAGCGUUGGGGAAGCGAAACAGGAAUUAGAUUCCCUCUGGGUAGUCCACGCCGUAACCGAAUGAAUGGCCUAAGUUGGUUGGGGGGGGUUUC